AUGGUAUAUUUACAAAAAGAGAAAGAGAAAAUCUGGGACUCAAAUGUUAGAGUGCCGCUGACUCUGGCGGCUGGAGCUGUCGACUCAUUCAUCCCGUUCCGCACGCUGGAGAAUGAAGCCGGCCGUCCAGCUCUUGGUCUCCAGGCCCGCGACCGUCCGCCAGCCGUUCCGAGGCCACUCCCCACCUCCGCCGUGAGUGUGGACACGCAGUGCCUGGACAUCCAGUGCGAGGAGCUGAGCGACGCUGGGUGGGCCGAGCUGCUCCCCUGCUCCAGCGGUGCCAGGCGGCCAGGCUGGACGACUGCGGCCUCACAGAGGCCAGGUGCAAGGACAUCAGCUCUGCACUCCAGGCCAACCCUGCGCUGACGGAGCUCAACCUGCGCAGCAACGAGCUGGGCGAUGCUGGCGUGCACCGUGCGCACCGCGUGCUCCAGGCCCUGCAGAGCCCCUCCUGCAAGAUCCAGCUGAGCUCCCAGAACUGCUACCUGACGGGGGCCGGCUGCGGGGUCCUGUCUGGCACACUGCACUCCCUGCCCACCCUGCAAGAGCUGCACCUCAGCGACAACCCCUUGGGGGAUGCGGGCCUGUAGCUGCUCUUCUAGGGACUCCUGGACCCCCAGUGCCGCCUGGAAAAGCUGCAGCUGGAGUACUGCAGGCUCUCAUCUGCCAGCUGCGAGCCGCUGGCCUCGGCGCUCAGGACCAAGCCGGACUUCAAGGAGCUCAAGGUCAGCAGCAACGACAUCGAUGAGGCCGGCGUCCGCGCGCUGUGCCAGGGCCUGAAGGACUUCCCCUGCCAGCUGGAGACGCUCAAGCUGAAGAACUGCGGUGCCACCUCGGACAACAGCAGGGACUUGUGCAGCAUCUUGGCUUCCAAGGCCUCCCGCGGGAGCUGGCCCUGGGCAACAACAAGCUGGGCGACGUGGGCAUCUCAGAGCUGUGCCCGGGGCUGCUGUACCCCAGCUCCAGGCUCAGGACCCUGUGGAUCUGGGAGUGUGGUCUCAACACCAAGAGCUGCAGAGACCUGUGCCGUGUCCUCAGGGCCAAGGACAGCCUGAAGGAGCUCAGCAUGGCUGGCAACAAGCUUGGGGACGAGGGUGCCCGGCUGCCGUGUGAGAGCCUGCUGGAGCCUGGCUGCCAGCUGGAGUCGCUGUGGGUGAAGUCCUGCAGCCUCACAGCUGCCUGCUGCUCCCACUUCAGCUCAGUGCUGGCCCAAAAUAAGUUUCUCCUGGACCUGCAGAUAAGCGACAACAGGCUGGGGGACGCAGGCGUGCGGGAGCCCUGGGCCAGCCCGCCUCCGGGCUGCGGUCACUCUGGCUGGGGGAAUGCGACGUGAGUGACAGGAGCUGCGGCAGCCUCGCCGCGACCCUGUUGGCCAACCACAGCCUGCGCGAGCUGGACCUCAGCAGCAACUGCCUGGGGACGCAGGCGUCCUGCAGGGGAUGGAGAGCCUGUGGCAGCCGGCCUGCCUCCUGGAGCAGCUGGUCCUGUACGACAUCUACAGGAUGUAGAUGGUCUUUGGAGAUGGAGAACCGGCUGCAGGCCCUGGAGAAGGAGAAUUCAUCCCUGAGUGUCAUCUCCUAAACCGCUUCCUGCCCGCCGGGCUCCUGAGAUCCGCUCUCCCUGGACAGCCCGGCCUCGAAGCACCCCUAGGCUCUCACCCUGCGUAUCCCAGAUUUGAAGAGAAACGCUCAGAUCAGGUUAUUUCUGCUAGUGUAUUUUGGAUACUUUAUAAUCAUUAAAACACUUUCUUGGCAAAAAAAAAAAAAAAAAAAAAA